AAUUAAUCUCACAAAUCCCUCGCAGAACCUAAUAUCCAAAAAUUAUAUUUUUCUUUUAAAAUUCAUCACAAUAUAUAUAAAAUUUAAAUUUUAAUAUUCUCGCUGGGCCGACCCUGCAGAGGUGUUUAGCACCCCAGGUUCGGGUUCGGAUUCAGGUUCAUACUCGUAAACCACCCUCUUCCCUUUAUUUUAUUAUUAUUAUUCUUAUUUUCUUUCUUUCUUUCUUUUCUUUUCUUUUUUAUUUUGUUUUCUUUUCUCUUUCUUUUCUUUCCUUCUCUUUUCUUUUUCUUUUCUUUUUCUUUUCUUUUCCAGAAGCUUCUCCCGACUUCUUUUUUUCCCUUCCCCCCUUUCUUUCUUCUUUCUUUUUCUUUCUCCUCCUCCUCUUCUUCCGGCUUCUUCUCUUUCCCCCCCUUCUUUCUUCUUCUUUCUUCUCCCGCGAAGAGAGGUCGGCGAGCUCGGGAGAGGCCAAGUCGAGGCCGGCGGCACCCGCAAGCCGGCCCUCUCCUUCUUCCCAGCUCGCGACAGCCGGCCCUCUCCUUCUUCCCACGGAGGAGGCAUGCAGACGGAAGAAGAAGAAGAGCCCACGACGGUCGGCAUUCUCCUUCUUCCCUCUCUUCUUUCUUUCUUUCUUUCUUUCUUUCUUUAUUUUCAAUUGGUAUACAAAGAAAUGAAGGGUAGAAACCCUUACCUCAGCCCCGGCGAAGAUCCGGCGGCUCCUUUCCGGCGGCAAACGGAGGAGGAAAGGGUCGUCCGUGCUGUGGCUGCUCGGGUGGCUGCUCGGCUCUCUCUCUCUCUCUCCCUCUCUCUCGGCCGGCAGCCCAAGGAAGAAGGAUCCCCCCCUUCUCCCUCUUCUUGGUGUGGCGGCUCUCCUCGGUGGCCUUAAAGAGGAGAGGAAGCCCUAAAAACAGGGCUUCCUUCUUCUUCGGGAUGGAACCAGUCUAUCCCGUCGCCUCACGUGCGUCGCACGUGAGGCCGGGGUUUUGGGACUGGGCCGGUCAUUUGGAUCGGGCCCAGUUCCGGGGUCUUACA
rnacentral:lncRNA from 1 species